rnacentral:rRNA from 1 species
AUUGAACGCUGGCGGCAGGCCUAACACAUGCAAGUCGAACGGUAACAGGAAGCAGCUUGCUGCUUCGCUGACGAGUGGCGGACGGGUGAGUAAUGUCUGGGAAACUGCCUGAUGGAGGGGGAUAACUACUGGAAACGGUAGCUAAUACCGCAUAACGUCUCAAGACCAAAGAGGGGGACCUUAGGGCCUCUUGCCAUCGGAUGUGCCCAGAUGGGAUUAGCUAGUAGGUGGGGUAACGGCUCACCUAGGCGACGAUCCCUAGCUGGUCUGAGAGGAUGACCAGCCACACUGGAACUGAGACACGGUCCAGACUCCUACGGGAGGCAGCAGUGGGGAAUAUUGCACAAUGGGCGCAAGCCUGAUGCAGCCAUGCCGCGUGUAUGAAGAAGGCCUUCGGGUUGUAAAGUACUUUCAGCGGGGAGGAAGGGAGUAAAGUUAAUACCUUUGCUCAUUGACGUUACCCGCAGAAGAAGCACCGGCUAACUCCGUG